UAGGAGGCAGCAGUGAGGAAUUUUGCGCAAUGGACGAAAGUCUGACGCAGCAACGCCGCGUGGAGGAUGAAGGUCUUCGGAUCGUAAACUCCUGUCAGUAGGGACGAAUGCUUCGCAAGAAGUUUGACUGUACCUGCUGAGGAAGCCACGGCUAACUCCGUGCCAGCAGCCGCGGUAAUACGGAGGUGGCAAGCGUUGUUCGGAAUUACUGGGCGUAAAGGGCGCGUAGGCGGCUUGGCAAGUCAGAUGUGAAAGCCCCGGGCUUAACUCGGGAAUUGCAUCUGAAACUGCUUUGCUUGAGUCCUGGAUGGGAUAGUGGAAUUCCCAGUGUAGCGGUGAAAUGCGUAGAUAUUGGGAGGAACACCUGCGGCGAAGGCGGCUAUCUGGACAGUGACUGACGCUGAGGCGCGAAAGCUAGGGGAGCGAACGGGAUUAGAUACCCCUGUAGUCUU
rnacentral:rRNA from 1 species